UACGAAGGGGGCUAGCGUUGCUCGGAAUCACUGGGCGUAAAGCGCACGUAGGCGGGUCUUUAAGUCAGGGGUGAAAUCCUGGAGCUCAACUCCAGAACUGCCUUUGAUACUGGCGAUCUUGAGUCCGGGAGAGGUGAGUGGAACUGCGAGUGUAGAGGUGAAAUUCGUAGAUAUUCGCAAGAACACCAGUGGCGAAGGCGGCUCACUGGCCCGGUACUGACGCUGAGGUGCGAAAGCGUGGGGAGCAAACAGG
rnacentral:rRNA from 1 species